AGGACGAACGCUGGCGGCGUGCUUAACACAUGCAAGUCGAGCGGUAAGGCCCUUCGGGGUACACGAGCGGCGAACGGGUGAGUAGCACGUGAGCAAUCUGCCCUUCACUUUGGGAUAACCCCCGGAAACGGGAGCUAAUACCGAAUACGACCACUUCAUGCAUGUGAUGGUGGUGGAAAGUUCUGGCGGUGGAGGAUGAGCUCGCGGCCUAUCAGCUUGUUGGUGGGGUAAUGGCCCACCAAGGCUUCGACGGGUAGCCGGCCUGAGAGGGUGACCGGCCACACUGGGACUGAGACACGGCCCAGACUCCUACGGGAGGCAGCAGUGGGGAAUAUUGGACAAUGGGCGAAAGCCUGAUCCAGCAACGCCGCGUGAGGGAUGACGGCCUUCGGGUUGUAAACCGUCUUUCAGCACAGACGAAGCGAAAGUGACGGUAUGUGCAGAAGAAGCACCGGCCAACUACGUGCCAGCAGCCGC
rnacentral:rRNA from 1 species